UCAGGGUCAGGCAUCCUCUCCGACUACUCCCUCAGCUGCAGAUCCCCACCCUCCUCUGAAUCCCAGUGGCCUUCGGCUUCAACAGAAGUUCACUGAAUGUCUGUUAAGGAUCAGACCUGUGUGCUGAGGAUUCAAAAUCAUGUAAGACUGCCUGCGUUCCUCCCGACUUAAACAAAGGCCUCCAGCAGCUUCCCACAUCCCCUGCCAACCCCCGGGGUCCUGGACCUUACUUUUCCCUUCGCUAUCCCGCAGCUCCGUUUCACCUUUUCCCCCACCUUGAUACCCCAUCGCCCCUACAACCGCCUCCCCGAAGGACACCUUGACCAGAGAACACAGCAAACAAGCCCGUAGAUGCCGUAAGUCCUUCGGCACCGUCUCCAGGGCCAUCCUCUCCGACAAAUGAACAGCAAAGAUUUGGGCCACGGCCUCCUCAGCCGCAGGAAGUAAACAGCGAUUUACCCAGAAUGCCUUCCACUUCCGGUUUUCCGCACUUCCUGUUCCGGUAUGGGGAGCCGCGGACUCACGCCUUUCUCUCUCUCUCUCUCUCUCUCUCUCUCUCUCCCCCGGCCCCCCCCCCCGGUCAAGGAGAUGGUUUCUCCCGCCUGGAGGCGGGGCCGGCCGGGAGUCACCUGGGCCGGCGCGCGCACCCGCCACCUGGGCGGGCGCGAGGGCGAGGCCGGGAAGGCAGUUGCGCCUGUGGGUAGGGCCCGUGGGGGAGGGGUGGCGCGGCUGGCGCCUGCGCGGGAGCGCGCCGCGGCUCCGGCCGGAACUCCCGGCGGGGCGGGCCGUUUGAUCUAGGCCGCUGGCAGCCGGCCGCCGGUCCCCUUAGGAGGAUCCCAGAUGUCAGCCGAGAUUCUUUUUUGUCUUCCCGUUUUAAAAGCGCAGGGCCAGAGUCCACUGUCUCCAUCUGGAUUAUCUCUGCAGAGAGGAAAAUCAGGGACGGCCCCUUUCUUUCCUGAGAGCAGUAAAGGGUUUCCAUUCGCCGUCCACGGGAAUGCUGGCUUGUGAGCCCAUGGCGGAUACCAGGCCCAUUAUUUUUGAAAACUCUUUACGUACUUUCCUUGUUCCAGCUGAUAAUUUGUUUCGUGCAGCAUUUAGACACAGGUCCUUUACUUCAGAAUAUCUGUAGGGGAUUGGAGAUUGUGUUUUGUUUUGUUUUGAUUUCACCCUAUAGCAAGCUGGAUGUUUCUUUGCUCUCCUGUUCAAAACUGGGCAACAGACAAUGACCACCCCCUAGGAAACCUGUCCUGGAGAAGCAGAGGGGGAAAUGUGCUUUGUGAGGAUGAGAGCAGAGGCUGCCCCAGGCUCUGUGGAAUUCAUACCAACAUAGCACCAGCUCUUGAUCCUCAACCAUAGUCCCGUGGGGAGGCAGAGCACAGUCAUUUGUGUUUGUCAGAAUUGGAGCUCUGGGAUAGUUUCAGUAGUUUCAGGCCCUACUGUUCUAUCCUCCCAACCAGGCGUCCCAACUGAAACAGAGCUUUUUCAAGGGGGG
rnacentral:lncRNA from 1 species